rnacentral:rRNA from 1 species
GAUGAACGCUGGCGGCGUGCCUAAUACAUGCAAGUCGAGCGAACGGACGAGAAGCUUGCUUCUUUGAUGUUAGCGGCGGACGGGUGAGUAACACGUGGAUAACCUACCUAUCAGACUGGUAUAACUUCGGGACACCGGAGCUAAUACCGGAUAAUAUUUUGAACCGCAUGGUUCAACAGUGAAAGACGGUCUUGCUGUCACUUCUAGAUGGCUCCGCGCUGCUUUAGCUAGUUGGUAAGGUAACGGCUUACCAAGGCAACGAUGCAUAGCCGACCUGGGAGGGGGAUCGGCCACACUGGAGCGGGGACACGGUCCAGACGCCUACGGGAGGCACCAGUAGGGAAUCGGACGCAGUGGGCGAAAGCCUGACGGAACAACGCCGCGUGAGUGAUAAAGGUCUUCGGAGCGUAAAACUCUGUUAUUAGGGAAGAACAUAUGUGUAAGUAACUGUGCACAACUUGACGGUACCUAAUCAGAAAGCCACGGCUAACUACGUG